GACGAACGCUGGCGGCGUGCUUAACACAUGCAAGUCGAACGGAAAGGCCCUGCUUUUGUGGGGUGCUCGAGUGGCGAACGGGUGAGUAACACGUGAGUAACCUGCCCUUGACUUUGGGAUAACUUCAGGAAACUGGGGCUAAUACCGGAUAGGAGCUCCUGCUGCAUGGUGGGGGUUGGAAAGUUUCGGCGGUUGGGGAUGGACUCGCGGCUUAUCAGCUUGUUGGUGGGGUAGUGGCUUACCAAGGCUUUGACGGGUAGCCGGCCUGAGAGGGUGACCGGCCACAUUGGGACUGAGAUACGGCCCAGACUCCUACGGGAGGCAGCAGGGGGGAAUAUUGAACAAUGGGCGGAAGCCUGAUGCAGCAACGCCGCGUGCGGGAUGACGGCCUUCGGGUUGUAAACCGCUUUCGCCUGUGACGAAGCGUAAGUGACGGUAAUGGGUAAAGAAGCACCAGCUAACUACGUG
rnacentral:rRNA from 1 species